rnacentral:rRNA from 1 species
ACGGAGGGUGCAAGCGUUAUCCGGAUUUAUUGGGUUUAAAGGGUGCGUAGGCGGUAUUAUAAGUCAGUGGUGAAAUGUUGCAGCUUAACUGUAGAAUUGCCAUUGAAACUGCAGUACUUGAGUUAUCUUGAGGUAGGCGGAAUGUGUAGUGUAGCGGUGAAAUGCUUAGAUAUUACACAGAACACCGAUUGCGAAGGCAGCUUACUAAGGGUAUACUGACGCUGAGGCACGAAAGCGUGGGGAUCGAACAGGAUUAGAUACCCUGGUAGUCCACGCCGUAAACGAUGAUAACUCGCUGUUGGCGAUACACAGUCAGCGGCUUAGCGAAAGCGUUAAGUUAUCCACCUGGGGAGUACGCUCGCAAGAGUG